GUUGGGAACUAGUUGUGGGGUCCAUUCCACGGAUUCCGUGACGCAGCUAACGCAUUAAGUUCCCCGCCUGGGGAGUACGGCCGCAAGGCUAAAACUCAAAGGAAUUGACGGGGACCCGCACAAGCGGCGGAGCAUGCGGAUUAAUUCGAUGCAACGCGAAGAACCUUACCAAGGCUUGACAUAUAGAGGAAACGUCUGGAAACAGUCGCCCCGCAAGGUCUCUAUACAGGUGGUGCAUGGCUGUCGUCAG
rnacentral:rRNA from 1 species